CAGUGGCCUAGUGGUUAGAGCAUCCGCCUAGGAUGCGGGAGGUUGUGGGUUUGAUCUUCGGUCGAGUCAUACCAUAGA